CGGGCCGCCACGUGUCAGUGGGGCCCGCGAACAGUGUAAGAAACUCACUAAGAUCGGUUUUUAAUUAGUAGUUUUUGUAACCGAUCCUUAAGAGUUUUGUGGAGGCCCACGCACUAAAAAACCCACUAAGAACCCCGGAUAAUCAUGCUCUAAGAGCACCUCCAUUAGUUUUAGGAAAUGUUCUUAAUCAAAAAACACAAAAAAAUAAAUGAAAAAUGAAUAAAUAGCACAGAACCGGUUAUAAACAGAGUCAUUUUAGAAUUGGUAAUGGUAAUAACCCCUACGUGGCGGUUUUGUAUUGGGUACUUGUAAAAGAGAAAAGGAAUCCAAAACCCGUCUCUCUCUUUAUCGCUUUCUUUUCAUGCAUGUCCUUUGGCCUCCUCCUCUUCCAAAUCCGUGGAUGAAAUCACCGAAAUCUGCGGUCGAUCGGUGGUAGCUCUCUUCAUCGGCGAUCGAUUGGUAAAAUCAGCAAGGGAACGACUCUACCCUUGUUCGCCGAAAUCAGCAAAAAAAAAAAUGGAGAAAGCAAUCGAGAGAGAACGAGUUCUUCUUCAACAUCUCUGUCCUUCUUCCUCCUCACACAGUUUCGAAGCUCUCUCUCUGGAUUAACGUGAUAUCCGAUGGCUUUAAGUUCAGACAACAAUCGUGGUAUUGAGUUUUAUCUCACGUCAUUAGUCAGAUACGUUUGCUGAUUAUCUCAAUGAUCCAAGCAUCAAGGAAUUGGCUGAGCAAAUUGCCAAUGAUCCCACCUUUACUCUGUACCAAGUGCAUCAAGCUAAGUCCAAACGUGUCACUGGCAAGUGGUUAGUAUACUUGUCUUUUAAUGCAUGUUAGAAACGGUUUAGGUUUGGAAUUAAAUGGACUUAAGUGUGAUGUGGUAGUGUCUGAGUUUGAGUUAAAUGGACAUUAACUGUUUAUUGGUUAGACAUAAAUUGUGUUCGAGCCAGUAUUGUGUCAAUUGUUAGAGAGUGAUUAUGGUAGGUGUGCUUUACAGUAACUGUGUAUUGGUUAGACAUAAAUUCAACAACCAAAAACUCUUUUUUUAAAUAUGAUGAAUUCACCCUUCCUCCUUUGCACAUUCCUUUUCCUUUCUCUAUUUCCUUCUAGCUUUAAAACUCUCUUAUGGAUUCAUACGGCCAUACAUCAGGCUUUAUAAACCUUCUAAACAGUCAAAACCCUCAUCCGUCAACUAGUGUAGAUGAACUUGGAGCCUCCGAUGUCUCUAUCUUCGGUAGCGAAUGGGCCCAAGAUGCACACUUUGUUACUGACCGUAAAGAAAAGCGUAAGUGGACACCAACAGAAGAUCUUGUUCUCAUCAGUGCUUGGCUGAAUACUUCCAAAGAUCCUGUAAUUGGUAAUGAGCAAAAGGCCAUAGCGUUUUGGAAGAGAAUUGCUUUUUAUUUUGCAUCAAGUCCCAAGCUUGUUGGUUUGUCAGUUUGAUGUAUCAGUUUUCGCACAACCGGAACCAAACCGAAGUUCACAAGUGGAUUUCACGUAUUCUACAGAUAUGCCUUCAAAUCUCGGCAAUAUGAUGAGCGUUCGGAAUCGAGUUCGUGAUAAAACAAUACAUCAACAAUUGAAAGCUGAUUUGGUUGAACAUAUUUGGCAAAAAUUUGGAACAAAUCAAGAUUUCUACUAAUCGGCUUUUCUCGUUUUUGAUUUGUAUUUGUACCUUUCAUAUGUUUUAUGUAAUUUUUAUUAAUAAAUUUAUGUAUGCUUUUAUUUUAAAUCAUUCUAAUAAAACAAAAAAUUUUAAAAAAAUUAAGAACCCCUAUGGAAUUCUACCAUUGGAGGAAGAAAAAAUCAAUUUUACUAACCAAGAUUCUAAACUUAUCAAAUCACAUUUUUUUCCAACUAAUUUAAUCAUUAGAGCCCCUUAGAGGUUCUAAUGGAUGGAGUUGCUCUAAAAGGAGAAGGCUUUGUGGUGUUGUGUAAUGGCCUCUUCUCUCUCUCACACUCGCUUUUUUAAUUGUUGUUGCACCCGAAAAGCAAGUUAGUAGUAAUUGAGACUUAGGAAAGGAAUAUGAAUCAGUGUGAUUAAGGCUUCGAAUAUUAUCGAUCGAAUUGCACCGUAGUUAACAGUAACAAAAAAAUUACAUAUAUUAUAUAUUUAUAUAUUUUUAUUACUGUUAAAACCGUACCGUACUUGAAACGUUUGUUCUUCAUCGCUCAAUCCACAAUUACCAUUCAGAGCCUAAGUAGACCAUCUCUUUAUAUACUGUAUAGUUUAUAUGCUUCCUCUUAUUGUCAACUACUAUAUAACAUUGAAUAUUAAUGCCAUUCACAUGUAGAUUUCUCAACAAAAAAUUGGGUGAAUUGUCAAAAACUGAGGUAUGUUUUUUGCGUUGUGGGAGGGAGGAGGCACGUGGAUAGUGGGUGGCGCACGUGCGGGGAACCGGGAGAAGAGGUAAUCGGUGGCUUCUUUCUCUCUUUAUCAUCGAUGCCAGCUUGGACGAGAGGGAGUGGGUGGGGGAGAGAAGUUUUAUCCUUAGGCUUUCUUGUGUGGGUCCCUCUUUUUACAUCUCUCAUAACGACCCCUUAACUUUCGUUUUAUACUAUUUGUUACCCCUAACUUUUUUUGUUUUAUAUUUUCCCCAUCCUCUCUAGGAAGUGCAAGGAGGGAGACUAUUUACGAGCUAACUCGGCCUAUUCAUUGAGGGAGAGUAUUUACGAGCUAACUCGGCCUAUUCAUACUUUCAUCGAGCUAACAAGGGGGGUGAUAAUAUUCUCGAAAAAAAGAUAGAUCGAGCUACAACAACUAAGGUGAUGAUUGUUUCGGUAGUUUUUAAUUUUAGUUUUUGGUUUUUAGAUUUUAGCUUUUGGUUUUUAGAUUUUGGUUUUUGGUUUUCAGCUUUUAGUUUUUGUUUUUUGG